UGCAAGCCUAAAAUCCCUUCGGUGACUCCACUACUAUCAGAGCAACUGCAUUAUGUUGCAUGAUGACCUCAGAGCGACUCAUAGGUCUCACCCUGUUGUGAUCCAGCACCUGCAGAAUCUGGCCUAAUGAUCACAGCAUUGUGAAGACGAGACAAUGAACGUUAGAGACACUAAUUGGGAGUGAAGCAGGAAAACAAAAUCCAACCCAUGUCUAGACCACACCUUGGUCGAGGCAAGGGAGUAUGGAUGUCUUCUUGCUCUACUGGAAAAUUUAUUCUAAGGAGGUCCUUCAGGAUACAGUUCAAGCAAAAAAGCAAACGUUUCUGGGUCUUUCCUGAUCUCAGCAACCUCCCUGCUUUGGCAACGUGUUGAUCAACUGGGGAGCCUAAUGGAGAAUCAGUUUUAUUGCCUGGAAUUCUUGUUUCACAAUAAGAAAUGCUUUUCUGUACAACAACGCUUUGUGGUAUUUUUCUAAAUUUUUCUCCAACAGCAGUAUGAGUCUUAAAAUAAUUUUAACAACACAAUUUAAAACUAAUAAUGUGUAUUUCAUACAUAUAUAUACAACUUCUAAGGCAAAGACGUGAAACCUAACUGAAUCGACCAGUCUUGAAAAGCAGGGUAAAAACUAAAUCAC
rnacentral:lncRNA from 1 species